GUUUAUCAAAAACAUAGUUUAUAGCAUUUAACUUUAGAUAUUUUUCUGCCCAUUGACAUAUGUUAAAAGGCCGCAGAAUAUUUACUGUGCUAAGGUAGCGUAAUCAUGAGCUAAAUAAUUUUUAGAUAGAAUGAAAGAAAGUAUGAAAUUGUAACUAUGAAAUUUUUAUAUAGUUUAAUUUAAAUUAUCUAUAAAAAUGUAGAUUUUUUUUUUCGGGACGAGAAGACCCUAAGAUCUGAAUAUAAAUUUAAAAUAUUUUAAAUUUUAAUUUAAUUGGGGUGAUUUUAAAAAAUGUAAAACUUUAAUAAAAAUAAACUUUCUAAGAGGAUUUUAUAAUUUUACUUAAAAAAAUUAUUUUAGAUACCUUAGGGAUAACAGCGUUAUAAAAUGAGAGAGAUCUUAUUUUUCAUUUUGAUUGCGACCUCGAUGUUGAAUUAAGUAUGUCGAAAUAGAAGGAUAUUUCGACUUAGGGUCUGUUCGACCUUUUUUACU
rnacentral:rRNA from 1 species